AUAAUUUUUCAUACAAGUUUUUUGAAUCAUAUGUUACCAUUUUUUCUCUCUUGUAUUUCAGUGUCAUUUUGGUUUUCAUUUGAUUGUAGACCUUUUUAACUUUGAUGUCUAAAGAGAUAAAUAAUUUUUCAUACAAGUUUUUUGUAUCAUAUGUUACCAUUUUUUCUCUGUUGUUUUUCAAUGUCAUUUUAUCAUAUCAAAGUUGAUUUUACACAGUAAAAUACGAAUAUGUGACCUUGAAUGAGUUGUCAAGGGAAGUCAUUCCUUCCUGUCAAACUGUGUAUACUUGUUUUAAUUUAACAUUGUAUAAGUUGACUGCUAUUUUGUAUUUUAUGUAUGUAAGAAUAUAUUUGAAUAAAAGAACAAGAGA
rnacentral:lncRNA from 1 species